AGCAGCGUGGCUCAGUGGAAAGAGCCUGGGCUUGGGAGCCAGAGGUCCUGGGUUCUAAUCCCACUCUGCCA
rnacentral:tRNA from 1 species